CGGGAAGGGCGGGCGGUCUAUACAUGCAAGUCGAGCGAACGGAGCACAGGAGCUUGCUCCUUUGACGUUAGCGGCGGACGGGUGAGUAACACGUGGGCAACCUACCUUAUAGUUUGGGAUAACUCCGGGAAACCGGGGCUAAUACCGAAUAAUCUGUUUCACCUCAUGGUGAAAUAUUGAAAGACGGUUUCGGCUGUCGCUAUAGGAUGGGCCCGCGGCGCAUUAGCUAGUUGGUGAGGUAACGGCUCACCAAGGCGACGAUGCGUAGCCGACCUGAGAGGGUGAUCGGCCACACUGGGACUGAGACACGGCCCAGACUCCUACGGGAGGCAGCAGUAGGGAAUCUUCCACAAUGGGCGAAAGCCUGAUGGAGCAACGCCGCGUGAGUGAAGAAGGAUUUCGGUUCGUAAAACUCUGUUGUAAGGGAAGAACAAUUACAUUAUUUAACUGGCUGUACCUUGACGGUACCUUAUUAGAUGGCCAGGG
rnacentral:rRNA from 1 species